rnacentral:lncRNA from 1 species
GUUUCUGUUCUUGGACCAACUGAACAUGUAUUUGUUUCUUCAAUUCCCAUUUUACUAGCAUUCAAAAGUUGGUCAUAUUGAGAAAUUAGAUUGUAAUGAAAAUACAUUAAUACGUGACAAAUGAUAGCUUGUCACUUGUAAUAUCUGUCCUAUUGUAAUAAAAAAUUGUAGCCAUGAAUGAUACCUGGGUUAAUAUUAUACAAUUAUAGCCUUUGUAUGAGGUCGAUACAAGGUUAUAUCGACCUAAGAGAAGCAUAUUGACAGAGGACGAAGUCCAAGGUCGAUACGCUUCUCUAGGUUGAUAUAACAUCCUAUUGACCUCAACCAAAGGCUACAAUUGUUAUAUUAUUAAU